CUAGUAAUCGCGGAUCAGAAUGCCGCGGUGAAUACGUUCCCGGGUCUUGUACACACCGCCCGUCACACCAUGGGAGUCGGAAAUGCCCGAAGUCAGUGGCCCAACCGGAAGGAGGGAGCUGCCGAAGGCAGGUCCGGUGACUGGGGUGAAGUCGUAACAAGGUACC
rnacentral:rRNA from 1 species